rfam:Cricetulus griseus cell line CHO-K1, whole genome shotgun sequence.
CCUAAGGCUCUUUUCAGGGCCACCUACGUUUUCUACGAAAGAGGCU